GCGGCGGACGGGUGAGUAACACGUGGGUAACCUGCCUGUAAGACUGGGAUAACUCCGGGAAACCGGGGCUAAUACCGGAUGCUUGAUUGAACCGCAUGGUUCAAUCAUAAAAGGUGGCUUUUAGCUACCACUUACAGAUGGACCCGCGGCGCAUUAGCUAGUUGGUGAGGUAACGGCUCACCAAGGCGACGAUGCGUAGCCGACCUGAGAGGGUGAUCGGCCACACUGGGACUGAGACACGGCCCAGACUCCUACGGGAGGCAGC
rnacentral:rRNA from 1 species